rnacentral:rRNA from 1 species
UACGUAGGGUGCGAGCGUUACUCGGAAUUACUGGGCGUAAAGCGUGCGCAGGCGGUUCGUUGUGUCGGCGGUGAAAGCCCCGGGCUUAACCUGGGAACGGCCGUUGAAACUGGCGAACUGGAGUGUGGCAGAGGGGGGUGGAAUUCCGCGUGUAGCAGUGAAAUGCGUAGAGAUGCGGAGGAACACCGAUGGCGAAGGCAGCCCCCUGGGCUAACACUGACGCUCAGGCACGAAGGCCAGGGGAGCAAACGGG